rnacentral:lncRNA from 1 species
GCGGCCUCGCGCCGUGGGACGGCGUCGCUCCCCGCCGGCUGCCGUUAGGGCUGGGAGCCGGCUGGGCGCGGGGGUAGUGAGGGUGCCUCUCGCCGUGGCUGCGCGGCGGCCUCGUCCGAGAGGCCGGCGCCGGGGCAGUGACCGGCCCGUGCCCAGCCGCCGCGCAGGGCGCCCGGGGCAGCUGGCCGAGCCCUCGAUGCCUCCCGUCUGACGGAGGCGCCCGGGAAGCGCCGCCCACCUCGGCCCCGCACCCUCGCCGGCCUGCCGGGUCUCCGCCAGCCCUAGCAGACAGAGAGGGGCGCCGGUCCCUAGUCCCCCAGACCUCCAUUCAAGGUCAAAACUUUGCCCAGCUCAGCCUUGCUCGACCCUGGGCAGGGAAGCGCGGACAUCGGCAGAGGGAGCCCGAGGCUCUCCGUGCCCUUCGCGCCGGUCAAGAACUGUGGAAUCUUUCAGAUGAUAUUCUGAUACUUCUGGACCAAGAUUGAAUUUGUUCUUCAUGAAAAAUGUCUGGGACCUUUUAUAUGGACGGGGAAUACCAACGUAGAGAUGGUCAAGAAAAUUUGCGCUCCGACCUAAACCAAGCACGUUGUAUGGUAGUUGGAGAGCUAAAUGUGGGAGGAGCCAAGAUGGCCGAAUAGGAAAAGCUCCGGUCUACAGCUCCCAGCGUGAGCAACGCAGAAGACGGGUGAUUUCUGCAUUUCCAUCUGAGGGUGUACUCCAUCUACUUUUAAAAACAAAAAGUUCACUGUAAAACAGCCUCAGGUAGGCCGUUCAGUAGGUAUUCCAGAAGAAGGUAUUGUCAUCAUAGGAGAUGGACAGCUCCAAGGGUGUUUAUUGCCCCUGAAGACUUUCUAGUGGAACAAGAUGUGGAGGUGGAAGACACUGAUGUUGGUGAUCCUGACUCAGUGCAGGCCUAAGCUAAUGUGGGUGUUUGUGUCUUAGUUUUUAACUAAAGGUUUAAAAAGUAAAAAUAAAACAUUAAAAAAAAUUUU